rnacentral:rRNA from 1 species
CCUACGGGUGGCAGCAGUGAGGAAUAUUGGUCAAUGGGCGCGAGCCUGAACCAGCCAAGUAGCGUGAAGGAUGACUGCCCUAUGGGUUGUAAACUUCUUUUAUAUGGGAAUAAAUCGCAGUAUGUAUACCUUUUUGCAUGUACUUUAUGAAUAAGGAUCGGCUAACUCCGUGCCAGCAGCCGCGGUAAUACGGAGGAUCCGAGCGUUAUCCGGAUUUAUUGGGUUUAAAGGGAGCGUAGGUGGGUUGUUAAGUCAGUUGUGAAAGUGAGGGGCUCAACCGGAAAAUUGCAAUUGAUACUGGCAGUCUAGAGUACAGUAGAGGGAGGUGGAAUUCGUGGUGUAGCGGUGAAAUGCGUAGAUA